GACGCAGUGGCCUCCCGAAUCCCCCAGGAAUCUUAAUGUCGCCAGAGGAUGCUGGGAGGAACACUGAGCCGACCUCUCCGUUAGGCUGAAGAUUGCACAAACCAUGAUAAUGGCCAGCAUGGAUGGAGGGAGCGUGUGAGAUGUGCGGGGCAGUGUGCUACGUCUCAGCCAACUCUAGGAGCCUGUUGAUGUGAUGGACUACAUUAAUUGAUUUUUGAAUGUUGAGCCAGCCUUAUGCAUGUGGGAUAGAUGCCUGUUGAUCAUG
rnacentral:lncRNA from 1 species